CUUAAGGCAAUGGGUUAAUGUCUUUUACCUUUAUAUAAUAAUCUACUUCCUCAUUUAAAUCCAAUGUGAAACUUGGACUCAGAGUUGAAUUACCAACAACCAGCAGUGGUAAAGAUGAUUCCUCUGUGUAUUUUGAUGUUGCUCAAGUUUCGAUUUUACUUUGGUGAGCCUUUAUAAGCAGAGAACUGAACUGCAGACAAAGCAAAUGUUUGAAUAAUGUGCAGAGAAUGAAAACUAUGGCUCCUAGUCGUCCUGGAUAAAACUAGACCUAUCUCAGGUUCAGGAUAAGUAAGCCCCGGUGAAUGUCGUUUUCCUUGUUCGAAGAACGGUUUUAAGAGGGAGAAGAUUUGUUUUUUCUACAACUGUCUCACGGAUGACCGUUAGAAACUGCCAAAAUAUCAACUUUGGGAUGCACUUCGAAACUAACAGUUUCUUUAACUUCCGAAAACUGUAAAUUUGACAGCUAGAAAUUACAAUAUUUUUUGUACUGUGUACUACAUCAUGGAUUGAUCCUUGUGAUCACAGUUGUGAAAAAAAGAACUAAUUUUUUAGAUAAAAAAAAAUUAUGUAGUAUUGUAGGAGGUCGCGUGUUUUGCACUUGGAGGAUCUAGUUUUUUUGUCAUUAGUGAAUUAUUUGGUUUGAUUUA